rnacentral:rRNA from 1 species
AUUGAACGCUGGCGGCAGGCUUAACACAUGCAAGUCGAACGCGUGGCGGACGGGUGAGUAAUGUCUGGGAAACUGCCUGAUGGCGGGGGAUAACUACUGGAAACGGUAGCUAAUACCGCAUACCAUCGGAUGUGCCCAUAUGGGAUUAGCUAGUUGGUGGGGUAAAGGCUCACCUAGGCGACGAUCCCUAGCUGGUCUGAGAGGAUGACCAGCCACACUGGAACUGAGACACGGCCCAGACUCCUACGGGAGGCAGCAGUGGGGAAGAUUGCACAAUGGGCGAAAGCCUGAUGCAGCCAUGCCGCGUGUAUGAAGAAGGCCUUCGGGUUGUAAAGUACUUUCAGCGGGGAGGCGUUACCCGCAGAAGAAGCACCGGCUAACUCCGUGCCAGCAGCCGCGGUAAUUC